GUAAGACCCACAGGAGCCCAGGUAUGCACUUGUGAGAGACCUAGAUACAAGGUGGCAUAGGGUGGGAUGUAGAUUUGAAUCUCAAAGGCUUCAUUAAGUAAGUGGGUGGCCUCGGGCAAGCUAUUUGUCCUCUCGUGCCUCAAUUUCUCUCCAUUAUAAAUGGGAAAAAUAGUAGCACUUGCCUCGUAGAGUUAAUCAAAUCAACACGUUUAGGUGCGUAUAACAAGGCAAGCUGUGACUAUUUGCUAUUAGUGUUUAGGGCAGUAUGUAGGGCAGAGGACAGUAAGUUUUCCUUGAUGUUUCCAUAAAACCAGAGAAGGUCAUUCAUUAUGUCCUUGACUAUACCCACUGGCUCUGGAAGCACCGGGUCUGGGAUCCAGAGGCUAAGUCCCAGGCUUCCAGCAGGUAGAGAAAGGCCCAGAACUGUGACACCCACCUCAUUUAAUGAGUGGAUACGUUAGAGACCGAAGAUGAACGCAGAAAGGCUCUCUACCUUCCUCCCAGCUUCCCACGUUGGGUUUCAGCGUCCCUGGGAGCGCCUGUGGCUGAAGAAGUCCCCUAGUGCUUCAGCAGCUUGGCUUCUUCCGCAGAGCCAGUCUCUAGGAGUCCCCAGCCUUUCCAGGAGGCGCACGCACUGCACCAGAGGACAUCAGGCCCGCGUCCCAGACUGUCGCUGCACAGGAUUGAGAGAGGGAGAGCUCGUCCGCGUGCAGCGUUGUCCAGACACUGCCAAGUUGAGCUGUAGGAGUACAGCUGGCGGAGGACUGAGGGUAAGAGCCUAGCAGGAAGGGCUGAAUCAGAGGACUCUUGCUAGGUUCUCUCGCAGAGAACUCUCAGGGCUGCAGGGGCGGACCUCACUGCUGCCUCCCCAUUUCCUCCUCAACUGCCUGUGGACUCCUCACUGCCUUCCUUUGCCCUACCAGGAGGCUCUAGAAAAAGCCAAUCAGUGUGGGUAUGGGGCUGGAUAGUUUCCAAAUUGACCUACCUGUGGGACAGAAAUCAAUUUAAUUGACCCUGUUCUUAAAAGAAAUGAAAUAGAAGAGACAACACCAGUGUGAAAAACAAGCAUCAGGUAAGCAUUGUGUGGGGGAGUUUCUUCAUCUACGUGUGUGUGUGUGUGUGUGUGUUACGUGUGUACACAGCCACACUCUCAAAUGUAUUUCUUGCUAUUGUUUGUGGUUUGUUUUUGUUGUUUGUUUGUUUGUUUGUUUUUUCCAAAGGUAGCAAUUGAGUACCUGGUUGCUUUUGUUCUGGAUUCGAAUUCACCCCGAGUUCACUGUGUAAACUCCAAGACCUGGUUCAGCCUCCUUGGGCUUCAAGUUCUAUGAAAUGGGUUAGCUAUGCCAGCCCCACCCAACUUACAGAUAUUUGCUAAGACUUUGAA
rnacentral:lncRNA from 1 species